GAUGAACGCUGGCGGCGUGCCUAACACAUGCAAGUCGAGCGAACGCACUAGAAGCUUCCGUUUCUGAUGUUUGCGGCGCACGUGUGAGUAACACGUGGAUAACUUACCUAUAAGACUGUGAUAACUUCGGGAAAGCGGUACUAAUACCGGCUAAUAUUUUGAACCGCAUGGUUCAAAUGUGAAAGCCGGCCGUGCUGUUACUGAUUGAUGGAUCCGCGCUGCAUUAGCUAGUUGGUAAGGUAACGGCUUACCAAGGCAACGAUGCAUAGCCGACCUGAGAGGGUGAUCGGCCACACUGGAACUGAGACACGGUCCAGACUCCUACGGGAGGCAGCAGUGGGGAAUCUUCCGCAAUGGGCGAAAGCCGGACAGAGCAACGCCGCGUGAGUGAAGAAGGUCUUCGGAUCGUAAAACUCUGUUAUUAGGAAAGAACAUCUGUGUAAGUAACCGUGCACAUCUUGACGGUACCGAAUCAAAAAGCCACGGCUAACUACGUG
rnacentral:rRNA from 1 species